AUUGAACGCUGGCGGCAGGCCUAACACAUGCAAGUCGAACGAGUGGCGGACGGGUGAGUAAUGUCUGGGCAUCUGCCUGAUGGAGGGGGAUAACUACUGGAAACGGUAGCUAAUACCGCAUACCAUCGGAUGUGCCCAGAUGGGAUUAGCUAGUGGGUGGGGUAAAGGCGCACCUAGGCGACGAUCCCUAGCUGGUCUGAGAGGCUGACCAGCCACACGGGAACUGAGACACGGCCCAGACUCCUACGGGAGGCAGCAGUGGGGAAUAUUGUACAAUGGGCGCAAGCCUGAUGCAGCCAUGCCGCGUGAAUGAAGAAGGCCUUCGGGUUGUAAAGUACUUUCAGCGGGGAGGCGUUACCCGCAGAAGAAGCACCGGCUAACUCCGUGCCAGCAGCCGCGGUAAUAC
rnacentral:rRNA from 1 species